rnacentral:rRNA from 1 species
UACGAAGGGGGCUAGCGUUGCUCGGAAUUACUGGGCGUAAAGCGUGCGCAGGCGGUUGUGCAAGACAGAUGUGAAAUCCCCGGGCUCAACCUGGGAACUGCAUUUGUGACUGCACGGCUAGAGUGUGUCAGAGGGGGGUAGAAUUCCACGUGUAGCAGUGAAAUGCGUAGAUAUGUGGAGGAAUACCGAUGGCGAAGGCAGCCCCCUGGGAUAACACUGACGCUCAUGCACGAAAGCGUGGGGAGCAAACAGG